UUCUAGGUUGGAGUUGAGAUACUUUGGGCCUUGUUGAGGGCAGCCCCUCAUAAACACUUUGUGGUGCUUAUGAGCACCAUAAAGCCGAUGGCAUUAAUAGUUUCUAAAUGCCAGGUGCCGCGCAGAGGAGAGCUGGGGUGUGGACCUGUGCAUUCCCACUCUGGGGCCUGUUCGCUUAACUGCCGUGUCCUAAACAGAGUUUAGAUAGAUAUGCACUGACAAACGAAUGCAUGAUAAAUGAUUUGAAAUGACGAUUGUGAUGGCAAAUUUUAUGCCGGGCUUGAUUCCUCUCCCUCUUUCUCUCUCUCCCGCUCUCCGCGCCCCUUCCCCCGCCCGCUCUGUGACAUAAAUGCUUGGUUACUCAAGGCCACAGUAACAGGAUGCUAGAUAAACAGUACACCCCCACCCCCACCCCCCUUUCUUUCCAAGACGUGAAAAGGGAACAGAACGUUAGGGGAGGAGGCUGUCGCGGCGUCUCAGGGGGCUGGCGGGCCUGUGUGGUGGCCCUGAGGUCGUGCGGACGCCUGGCCCAGUCGCUGGCCGGCGAUCGCGAUCGGCGGUCACGGCCACCCGGGCUGCUCGGCUGCUCGUGUCUCCGAGGGGACGCUCCGCGUUGCUCUGACCGUGAGCAGUUAGGUGUCGCCCGAGCCUCUUUCUGGGGGCUAGGAUGUCCCUGGCCCAGCGCGUGUUCGGAGUAGACAGUGGGACCCUCCGUAGCCCCUGCAGAAACGAGUCUGAGGCACAGAAGACGGGAGGUCAGCCAGCCGGGGCUCCGCACUGCCUCCCCGCCCUUCCCACGCCACCGUCUCCCCUCAAACCAGGGCUCGGCUUCUGACCUCCCCCAAGCCGCUAGAGACCCCAUCUGGUGGGCUUUCCUGCCCACCCCCUCGCGGUGAGUGACUGCAGCACUGUGCCUGCUCGCCAGGGGUCGCAAAGUCCCGGCUCCAGGGGUCAGUCUCUCUACCCUUCACCCCGUGGGAUUCUCCGUUGGCUCCAUGAGCUUCCUGUAGCCCCCUCUCAGCUGGUGACAGCUCAACUGAACUGGUGACAAUUACCAAGCACCAAGUCGCAUUGCCAGCCCCAGGCUUCCUUCCACCCUACAGCACUUACCUGGAAUUAGCUGCGGUCGCAGCUCAGCAGAGGUGACUGUGCUGAACUGACAUUACAUUGAAACAAAGAGCAGGUGAAAGCUCUUCCUGGACCUACCCAGCUGCCCUAUCCAGCCUGGAGAUCCAAAGUGGGUGAUGGAUGGACUGCACAAUGUGGAGCCUUAUAGCCAGUGCAAAAAGUCGUGAAUGCUGAAACAGAUGCCCCAGCAACUGCCACUGGCAAAAGAACAAGGGCGUUUGCCUCCCUUCAAUCUUCCAAAUCAUGGGUGUGUGAUUGAUCAGUCUGAAUCCAGAACCUUGCUGGCCAGGGGCAUUUUACCAUGCAGAUUCUGGUUGUCAGAUUUUGAAGACUAUUAUCUUUAUGAAGACAGGAACUAGAUUUACUUGAAUCAACAUUGGAACCUCACUACAGAACACUGAUAUAAGUGCUAAUUAAUAUCAGUAUAUGCCUAGUAUAUAGCAAUCAACGAAUAGUUGUUGAAUGGAAGAAUAAAUUGAGCCACUGGGGUAAAGUCUCUGUGGCGGGAAAGAAGCUGAAAGAAGAUGCCUCGGGUCGGUUCCCUGGUGACCGCAGAAAUGAAGCCGUGGGUGACGACUUUUGGAAGACCCAGCACUUGCUCACAUUAGCUAAUAAAAACAGUACUGACUUGUAAAAUAAAUGUAGGGAAGACAAAG